AACUUUCAACAACGGAUCUCUUGGCUCUGGCAUCGAUGAAGAACGCAGCGAAAUGCGAUAAGUAAUGUGAAUUGCAGAAUUCAGUGAAUCAUCGAAUCUUUGAACGCACAUUGCGCCCCUUGGUAUUCCGGGGGGCAUGCCUGUUCGAGCGUCAUUU
rnacentral:rRNA from 1 species